UGUACCAUGGGUGCCAAUGCUUCAGCAUUAGAGAAAGAGAUUGGCUCAGAAUAGUUUCUGGUCAAUGAGCAUUAUUUUAGAUUAGAGAAUUUUGGGAAUACCUGCUACUGCAACUCAGUUCUUCAAGCAAUUAUUUUUGUCCAUUUCAGGAAAAAAUUCUAGCAUACAAAAGUCAGCCCAGAUAAAAGGAGAACCUUCUCACCUGUCUGGCAUACCUCUUCCACAGCCUAACUACUCAGAAGAGGAAGGUCAGUGUGAUCCUGCCCAAGGAGUUCAUCACAAGAUUUCAGAAAGAAAUUGAGUUGUUUGACAACUACAAUAAGAUGUCCAUAAAUUUUAAAAUUACCUACUCAGUACAAUUGCUGGUAUUUCUAAGAAGAAAGAAAACGGGAGAAGCAAAAUAACCUAUUACAUAAAGGGGACGUGGACAGCGAGGAUAAAAAUAGCAUACCAGACCCAACAAGAGUCCAUGAGAUUUUUCAGGGAACAUUAACUAAUGAAAUCUGGUUUCUUACUUAUGAAACUAUAAACAGCAAAGAUGAAGAUUUUUUUUUAGACCUUUCUGUUGACGUGGAAUGAAACACAUCAGUUACUCAAUGCUUAAGAGGGUUCAGUAACACAGAG
rnacentral:lncRNA from 1 species